rnacentral:rRNA from 1 species
AUGUACGGUUGGAGCACAAGUGGUAAAUAUGGGUGUCCAUCAUGUGGUCCUUCUACAAGAUCAUUUCGCCUGAAUAAGGGUAUGAAACUUUGUUAUAUGGGUCACCGUCGCUGGUUACCACAGGGUCAUGUAUUUCGAAACCGAAGAAGGCAGGAAUUUGAUGGCACUAAAGAGACAGAAUUGGCACCGACAACUAUGAGUGGUAGUUCAGCUUUGAAAAUGUUGCAAGGCAGAGUGUUUGUGUUAGGCAAAAAAGGCAAUAUAGCAAAGAAAGCAAAGGGCGGAAAGAAGGUCAAAAACAGUGAAAAAGAAAAUGAAAAGAAUCAAGAACCAAAGUGUAAAAGGAAGGCAGGCAACAAGUCAAUUAAGAACCAAGGUAAGCCUGAGAAGAAGCCUGAGGAUUGGUUAAAAAAAAUCAAUAUUUUUCAACUUGCCAUAUUGGGAACUUAA